CCUACGGGUGGCAGCAGUGAGGAAUAUUGGUCAAUGGACGAGAGUCUGAACCAGCCAAGUAGCGUGAAGGAUGACUGCCCUAUGGGUUGUAAACUUCUUUUAUAUGGGAAUAAAAUGUUCCACGUGUGGGAUUUUGUAUGUACCUUAUGAAUAAGGAUCGGCUAACUCCGUGCCAGCAGCCGCGGUAAUACGGAGGAUCCGAGCGUUAUCCGGAUUUAUUGGGUUUAAAGGGUGCGUAGGUGGGUUGUUUAGUCAAGUGUGAAAGUUUGCGGCUCAACCGUAGAAUUGCAUUUGAAACUGUCAGUCUUGAGUUCAGUAGAGGUGGGCGGAAUUCGUGGAGUAGCGGUGAAAUGCUUAGAUAUCACGAAGAACUCCGAUUGCGAAGGCAGCUCACUAGACUGCAACUGACACUGAGGCACGAGAGUGUGGGUAUCAAACAGGAUUAGAUACCCUUGUAGUC
rnacentral:rRNA from 1 species